GCCGCUAUGGUGAAAUUGGUAGACACGCUGCUCUUAGGAAGCAGUGCGUCCGAGUGGCGGCA
rnacentral:tRNA from 1 species